rnacentral:rRNA from 1 species
CGCCUUUCGACAAAUAAACAUGAAAGGUCCUGCCUGCCCAGUGACAUUUUUAACGGCCGCGGUAUUAUGACCGUGCAAAGGUAGCAUAAUCACUUGUCUUCUAAAUUAAGACCGGAAUGAAUGGCAAGACGAAAGCCCAACUGUCUCCUUAAGCUAGUCAAUGAAAUUGAUCUUUUCGUGCAGAAGCGAAAGUAUUAAUAUAAGACGAGAAGACCCUGUGGAGCUUAAAAAAAAGGCUAUACACUUUAAUAGCACUUAUUUAGGUUGGGGCGACCAUGAGGUAAAACAUAACCCUCAAGACAACAACUAGAAGAACACUUCAAAUAAAACAAAACUUAUAUAUUGACCCAAUAAUGAUCAACGAACCAAGUUACCCCAGGGAUAACAGCGCAAUCCAUUUUUAGAGCCCUUAUCGACAAAUGGGUUUACGACCUCGAUGUUGGAUCAGGACCCCUAAUGGUGCAACAACUAUUAAAGGCUCGUUUGUUCAACGAUUAAAGUCCU